CCUACGGGAGGCUGCAGUGGGGAAUAUUGGACAAUGGGCGAAAGCCUGAUCCAGCCAUGCCGCGUGUGUGAAGAAGGCCUUCGGGUUGUAAAGCACUUUCAGUGGGGAAGAAAGCCUUGGGGCUAAUACCCUCGAGGAAGGACAUCACCCACAGAAGAAGCACCGGCUAACUCCGUGCCAGCAGCCGCGGUAAUACGGAGGGUGCGAGCGUUAAUCGGAAUUACUGGGCGUAAAGCGCGCGUAGGCGGUCUGAUAAGCCGGUUGUGAAAGCCCCGGGCUCAACCUGGGAACGGCAUCCGGAACUGUCAGGCUAGAGUGCAGGAGAGGAAGGUCGAAUUCCCUGUGUAGCGGUGAAAUGCGUAGAGAUCGGGAGGAAUACCAGUGGCGAAGGCGGCCUUCUGGACUGACACUGACGCUGAGGUGCGAAAGCGUGGGUAGCAAACAGGAUUAGAUACCCCUGUAGUC
rnacentral:rRNA from 1 species